CCUGAAUGCAUUAGCUAAACACUGGAAUCUCUCUUUCUUAUGCUGCAGAAGGGCUGCAGAGCUGCUUUGCAAAUACUGCACAGCCCAAAGCACAGAAUGAAUAUUAGUGGGAUCUUAUCCAGCAUUUUUUGCAAGCUUGUGUGUUUACGUUGGCAGGAAAAGGAAAGGAUCUGCCAAGUGAAGGAUUAGCUAGCCCAAGCCUCCCUCUAACCCCAUCCCAGCCCUUCCAGGGAAGUGCUCUGUGCAGGGAACUCUUCUGAAGCAGCUUUUCCACAAGGAGAAAUAUGUCACUUCACACAGCUUCUGGCAUCUCAGCCCUGGAGCAGUAGGAUCCCCCAGGCCCUCCUGUAUGAGGCCAGGAGAUGGGGACAGAAAGAAGGGAAUAUGGCUCGUGGCUCCAGUCAGAUGCUACAAGAACUAAACAUAUGGAUUAUUCCUAGCAGCAGCUUUGUGAACAGUGGCUAAACCUUGGGGAAGAUCAUCUAAGUGGCUUAUCCUUAUUUACCUUUGAUCUCGUGAAGAAU
rnacentral:lncRNA from 1 species